rnacentral:rRNA from 13 species
UUUUGUAUAAUGGGUCAGCGACUUUGUCUCUCGAGCAAGCUUAAGCCGGUAGGUGUAGGCGCAGCGAAAGCGAGUCUGAAUAGGGCGAUGAGUUCGAGGGAUAAGACCCGAAACCGAGUGAUCUAGCCAUGUGCAGGUUGAAGGUGCGGUAACACGUACUGGAGGACCGAACCCACUUAUGUUGAAAAAUGAGGGGAUGACUUGUGGCUAGGGGUGAAAGGCCAAU